rnacentral:rRNA from 1 species
UGGGGAAUACUGCACAAUGGGCGAAAGCCUGAUGCAGCAACGCCGCGUGAGUGAUGAAGGCCUUCGGGUUGUAAAGCUCUGUCUUCUGGGACGAUAAUGACGGUACCAGAGGAGGAAGCCACGGCUAACUACGUGCCAGCAGCCGCGGUAAUACGUAGGUGGCAAGCGUUGUCCGGAUUUACUGGGCGUAAAGGAUGCGUAGGCGGAUACUUAAGUCAGAUGUGAAAAUCCCGGGCUUAACUUGGGAACUGCAUUUGAAACUGGGUAUCUAGAGUGCGAGAGAGGAAAGUGGAAUUCCUAGUGUAGCGGUGAAAUGCGUAGAGAUUAGGAAGAACACCAGUGGCGAAGGCGACUUUCUGGACCGUAACUGACGCUGAGGCAUGAAAGCGUGGGGAGCAAACA